rnacentral:rRNA from 1 species
AGCGAACGCUGGCGGCAGGCCUAACACAUGCAAGUCGAACGCUCGUAGCAAUACGAGAGUGGCAGACGGGUGAGUAACGCGUGGGAACGUGCCCUUCGGUUCGGAAUAACCCGGGGAAACUCGGGCUAAUACCGAAUACGUCCGUAAGGAGAAAGAUUUAUCGCCGAAGGAUCGGCCCGCGUCGGAUUAGCUAGUUGGUGAGGUAAUGGCUCACCAAGGCGAUGAUCCGUAGCUGGUCUGAGAGGACGAUCAGCCACACUGGGACUGAGACACGGCCCAGACUCCUACGGGAGGCAGCAGUGGGGAAUAUUGGACAAUGGGCGCAAGCCUGAUCCAGCCAUGCCGCGUGAGUGAUGAAGGCCUUAGGGUUGUAAAGCUCUUUUAGCGGGACGAUAAUGACGGUACCCGCAGAAAAAGCCCCGGCUAACUUCGUGCCACCAGCCGCGGUAAUACGAAGGGGGCUAGCGUUGCUCGGAAUCACUGGGCGUAAGGCGCACGUAGGUGG